UUAAGCGAUUAAGCGUACACGGUGGAUGCCCUGGCAGUCAGAGGCGAUGAAGGACGUGCUAAUCUGCGAAAAGCGUCGGUAAGGUGAUAUGAACCGUUAUAACCGGCGAUGUCCGAAUGGGGAAACCCAGUGUGAUUCGUCACACUAUCGUUAACUGAAUACAUAGGUUAACGAGGCGAACCGGGGGAACUGAAACAUCUAAGUACCCCGAGGAAAAGAAAUCAACCGAGAUUCCCCCAGUAGCGGCGAGCGAACGGGGAGCAGCCCAGAGUCUGAAUCAGCUUGUGUGUUAGUGGAACGGUCUGGAAAGUCCGACGGUACAGGGUGAUAGUCCCGUACACCAAAAUGCACAGGCUGUGAACUCGAAGAGUAGGGCGGGACACGUGGUAUCCUGUCUGAAUAUGGGGGGACCAUCCUCCAAGGCUAAAUACUCCUGACUGACCGAUAGUGAACCAGUACCGUGAGGGAAAGGCGAAAAGAACCCCGGCGAGGGGAGUGAAAAAGAACCUGAAACCGUGUACGUACAAGCAGUGGGAGCACCUUCGGGUGUGACUGCGUACCUUUUGUAUAAUGGGUCAGCGACUUAUAUUCUGUAGCAAGGUUAACCGUAUAGGGGAGCCGCAGGGAAACCGAGUCUUAACUGGGCGUUAAGUUGCAGGGUAUAGACCCGAAACCCGGUGAUCUAGCCAUGGGCAGGUUGAAGGUUGGGUAACACUAACUGGAGGACCGAACCGACUAAUGUUGAAAAAUUAGCGGAUGACUUGUGGCUGGGGGUGAAAGGCCAAUCAAACCGGGAGAUAGCUGGUUCUCCCCGAAAGCUAUUUAGGUAGCGCCUCGUGAACUCAUCUUCGGGGGUAGAGCACUGUUUCGGCUAGGGGGUCAUCCCGACUUACCAACCCGAUGCAAACUACGAAUACCGAAGAAUGUUAUCACGGGAGACACACGGCGGGUGCUAACGUCCGUCGUGAAGAGGGAAACAACCCAGACCGCCAGCUAAGGUCCCAAAGUCAUGGUUAAGUGGGAAACGAUGUGGGAAGGCACAGACAGCCAGGAUGUUGGCUUAGAAGCAGCCAUCAUUUAAAGAAAGCGUAAUAGCUCACUGGUCGAGUCGGCCUGCGCGGAAGAUGUAACGGGGCUAAACCAUGCACCGAAGCUGCGGCAGCGACACUAUGUGUUGUUGGGUAGGGGAGCGUUCUGUAAGCCUGCGAAGGUGACCUGUGAGGGUUGCUGGAGGUAUCAGAAGUGCGAAUGCUGACAUAAGUAACGAUAAAGCGGGUGAAAAGCCCGCUCGCCGGAAGACCAAGGGUUCCUGUCCAACGUUAAUCGGGGCAGGGUGAGUCGACCCCUAAGGCGAGGCCGAAAGGCGUAGUCGAUGGGAAACAGGUUAAUAUUCCUGUACUUGGUGUUACUGCGAAGGGGGGACGGAGAAGGCUAUGUUAGCCGGGCGACGGUUGUCCCGGUUUAAGCAUGUAGGCUGAUUGUCCAGGCAAAUCCGGAUAAUCAAGGCUGAGGUGUGAUGACGAGGCACUACGGUGCUGAAGUAACAAAUGCCCUGCUUCCAGGAAAAGCCUCUAAGCAUCAGGUAACAUCAAAUCGUACCCCAAACCGACACAGGUGGUCAGGUAGAGAAUACCAAGGCGCUUGAGAGAACUCGGGUGAAGGAACUAGGCAAAAUGGUGCCGUAACUUCGGGAGAAGGCACGCUGGUGUGUAGGUGAAGCCCCUGCGGGUGGAGCUGAGACCAGUCGAAGAUACCAGCUGGCUGCAACUGUUUAUUAAAAACACAGCACUGUGCAAACACGAAAGUGGACGUAUACGGUGUGACGCCUGCCCGGUGCCGGAAGGUUAAUUGAUGGGGUUAUCCGUAAGGAGAAGCUCUUGAUCGAAGCCCCGGUAAACGGCGGCCGUAACUAUAACGGUCCUAAGGUAGCGAAAUUCCUUGUCGGGUAAGUUCCGACCUGCACGAAUGGCGUAAUGAUGGCCAGGCUGUCUCCACCCGAGACUCAGUGAAAUUGAACUCGCUGUGAAGAUGCAGUGUACCCGCGGCAAGACGGAAAGACCCCGUGAACCUUUACUAUAGCUUGACACUGAACAUUGAGCCUUGAUGUGUAGGAUAGGUGGGAGGCUUUGAAGCGUGGACGCCAGUCUGCGUGGAGCCAACCUUGAAAUACCACCCUUUAAUGUUUGAUGUUCUAACGUUGGCCCCUUACCGGGGUUGCGGACAGUGUCUGGUGGGUAGUUUGACUGGGGCGGUCUCCUCCCAAAGCGUAACGGAGGAGCACGAAGGUUAGCUAAUCCUGGUCGGACAUCAGGAGGUUAGUGCAAUGGCAUAAGCUAGCUUGACUGCGAGCGUGACGGCGCGAGCAGGUGCGAAAGCAGGUCAUAGUGAUCCGGUGGUUCUGAAUGGAAGGGCCAUCGCUCAACGGAUAAAAGGUACUCCGGGGAUAACAGGCUGAUACCGCCCAAGAGUUCAUAUCGACGGCGGUGUUUGGCACCUCGAUGUCGGCUCAUCACAUCCUGGGGCUGAAGUAGGUCCCAAGGGUAUGGCUGUUCGCCAUUUAAAGUGGUACGCGAGCUGGGUUUAGAACGUCGUGAGACAGUUCGGUCCCUAUCUGCCGUGGGCGCUGGAGAAUUGAGGGGGGCUGCUCCUAGUACGAGAGGACCGGAGUGGACGCAUCACUGGUGUUCGGGUUGUCAUGCCAAUGGCACUGCCCGGUAGCUAAAUGCGGAAGAGAUAAGUGCUGAAAGCAUCUAAGCACGAAACUUGCCCCGAGAUGAGUUCUCCCUGAGACUUUAAGUCUCCUGAAGGAACGUUGAAGACGACGACGUUGAUAGGCCGGGUGUGUAAGCGCAGCGAUGCGUUGAGCUAACCGGUACUAAUGAACCGUGAGGCUUAACCUU
rnacentral:rRNA from 2 species